rnacentral:rRNA from 1 species
GUCCACGCCGUAAACGAUGGAUACUAGCUGUUGGGCGCAAGUUCAGUGGCUAAGCGAAAGUGAUAAGUAUCCCACCUGGGGAGUACGUUCGCAAGAAUGAAACUCAAAGGAAUUGACGGGGGCCCCGCACAAGCGGUGGAGCAUGUGGUUUAAUUCGAUGAUACGCGAGGAACCUUACCAAGGCUUAAAUGUAGAUUGACCGGUUUGGAAACAGACUUUUCGCAAGACAAUUUACAAGGUGCUGCAUGGUUGUCGU